GGAAAGAUGAGAGAGGAGGAUGAGACGGAGAAGUAACAAAAAUGAAAACCAAAACUAAAAACUGAAAUCUAUUUAAAAUUGUUUUCACUUUUGUUACUCUUCCCUCUCAUCUUCCCUUCUCAUUCUCUCU
rnacentral:miRNA from 1 species